AUUGAACGCUGGCGGCAGGCCUAACACAUGCAAGUCGAACGAGUGGCGGACGGGUGAGUAAUGUCUGGGAAACUGCCUGAUGGAGGGGGAUAACUACUGGAAACGGUAGCUAAUACCGCAUACCAUCGGAUGUGCCCAAAUGGGAUUAGCUAGUAGGGGGGGUAAAGGCUAACCUAGGCGUCGAUACCUAGCUGGUCUGAGAGGAUGACCAGCCAAACGGGAACUGAGACACGUUCCAGACUCCUACGGUAGGAAGCAGUGGGGAAUAUUGCACAAUGGGCGACAGCCUGAUGCAGCCAUGCCGCGUGUAUGAAGAAGGCCGUCGGGUUGUAAAGUACUUUCAGCGGGGAGGCGUUACCCGCAGAAGAAGCACCGGCUAACUCCGUGCCAGCAGCCGCGGUAAUUC
rnacentral:rRNA from 1 species